rnacentral:rRNA from 1 species
AUACAUAGGGGGCGAGCGUUAUCCGGAUUUAUUGGGCGUAAAGGGUGCGUAGGCGGUAAAUUAAGUCUAAGGUUAAAGUGCAGGGCUCAACCCUGUGAUGCCUUAGAAACUGGUUUACUUGAGUUUGGUAGAGGUAAGUGGAACUCCAUGUGUAGCGGUAAAAUGCGUAAAUAUAUGGAAGAACACCAGUGGCGAAGGCGGCUUACUGGGCCACAACUGACGCUGAGGCACGAAAGCGUGGGGAGCAAACAGGGUUAGAUACCCUGGUAGUCCACGCUGUAAACGAUGAAUACUAAGUGUUGGAAAAAUCCAGUGCUGAAGUUAACGCAUUAAGUAUUCCGCCUGAGUAGUACGUACGCAAGUAUGAAACUCAAAUGAAUUGACGGGG